UAACAGCUCAAAUUUGAAAUCUGGCUCCUCCGGAGUCCGAGUUGUAAUUUGUAGAAGAUGCUUUGGGUUGUGGGUUCGGCCUAAGUUCCUUGGAACAGGACGUCAUAGAGGGUGAGAAUCCCGUAUGUGGCCGCGGCCCGCGCCUAUGUAAAGCUCUUUCAACGAGUCGAGUUGUUUGGGAAUGCAGCUCAAAAUGGGUGGUAAAUUUCAUCUAAAGCUAAAUAUGGGCCAGAGACCGAUAGCGCACAAGUAGAGUGAUCGAAAGAUGAAAAGCACUUUGGAAAGAGAGUUAAACAGUACGUGAAAUUGUUGAAAGGGAAGCGCUUGCAACCAGACUUGGGCGCUGCCGAUCACCCCGAGUUCUCUCGAGUGCACUCGACAGCGCACAGGCCAGCAUCGGUUCGGGUGGCUGGAUAAAGGCCGUGGGAACGUGGCUCCCCUCGGGGAGUGUUAUAGCCUACGGUGCCAUGCAGCCCAGCCGGACCGAGGACCGCGCCUUCGGGCUAGGAUGCUGGCGUAAUGGUUGUAAGCGACCCG
rnacentral:rRNA from 1 species